rnacentral:lncRNA from 1 species
GAGUAAAAUAGGUAAGGAAUUUCAUCGAGCAUGUGGCGUGCAUCACUUUGUCACACAAUUCCAAGCACAUACGAGAUCCAAUCACCCAUCCAAUCAUAGUCCCUCAAACUAGAAACGACAUACUUUAAAAUGAAACAAACCACACAUCAAACGGAUUAACGGAAUGCAAGAACGAACGAAUUGAAAAUGGAGGAAAAACAUGUAAACCACAUAGUGCGAAGAAUGAAGAAAACGAACAAUGCAAUGGAAAUCGUGAUGCACAAUGCGUGAGAUAACUCCCAAUGAAAAAAGGAAUGUCGAAGCUUCUAUAAAUUAAGUAACAAUCAAGCAAGAAUACCAAAGUAAGCAAAACACACGAAAAAGAGCAAAACAAAACGAAAAAGAAAAAAAAUUACCGCAAUGUGAUGUUUAGCAAAGGAAUCCGGAAGAAAAAUGUUGUUAGGGGCCUCGAAGUUAAGUUAUCAAUUGAUGAAAAUUGAGAAAAAAAACACGAGAAGGAAGAAAGAAGAGAGAAAAAUCAAGAAAUUGCGCGAAAAAAAUGAAACUGGGUAUUUUAAAAAGUGACCUGUCGCUCGAACGAGGAUCUAGAGAGACUCGAGCGACAAGCAAACUGUUUUUAUCGCUCGAGCGAAGACCAGGCGAGACUCGAGUGAAACACCAAAUGUCAAAAACAGCACUAAAAAUUUGAAUUUUGAGAAAAAUAACAUAAUCUUCAAGAAAUGACGAAAUUAGCCCCAAAUCGUGAAAUUUCAAAAAUAAGUGAACUACGUAAUAGUGGAAAAUAAUCCAAAAAAAAUAGCAUGGAACCACAUAUGCAAUCAAAACCAACAAUAAGCAUAAAAUCACAAACCCGACCACCAGCACGUAGACAAAUCGUUAAUCCACACAUAGUUCAGAAUCCUGUGUAGUAAAGUGUAUACAGAACAUCA